rnacentral:lncRNA from 1 species
UAUCCACUUGUCCCAUACCCUCUCUCAAUCCCCUGAGGAAUUUGAGAGGAAAUUACCUGGAUGAACUUUAUAGUGAAUAUGAAGAACACAUUUAGUACAACUCAAAAGAAGGAAGGAGAUGACCUUCACCCCUUCCAAGGCUCUCUGAAGAAAAUUGAAGGUAAAUAUGAUUAAAUAGGAAAAUGUGAGCAACUGCUGUCUGACUGAAAAAUCAACAAGCCACCACACAUGGAAACAAGGAGCAACGAGUUUCCCUGUUCAGAAACCAGUCUAAGAACAGGGAGGUUCUCCUGAUAUUUUCUCCAAGAAAAAUCAGUGCCCAAUAAAUCAGCGUUUGGAGGCCUGGCUCCUGAAUAGCAGUCAAAGAUGAACAGAGGCCAGAAUCUCGCUGACCUGCAAGGCACCACCUGAGACCCCAACUCGACAGUCGCCGCCUAUAAAUCUUCCCGCAGUGGCCACCCCAUCAGCUGCUCUGCAUGUGGAGGGUAACAAAGGAAGCCAGAGGAGGCUUUAGUUUUUACUUAUUUUUC